rnacentral:rRNA from 1 species
GACGAACGCUGGCGGCGUGCUUAACACAUGCAAGUCGAACGGAAAGGCCUGCUUUCCCUUGUGGAUUGCGGGUACUCGAGUGGCGAACGGGUGAGUAACACGUGAGUGAUCUGCCCCCAACUUGGGUAUAAGCCUGGGAAACUGGGUCUAAUUCCCGAUAGGACUGCAGGGUGGUGCCUGUGGUGGAAAACGAUUUUCUAGUGGUUGGGGAUGAGCUCGCGGCCUAUCAGCUUGUUGGUGGGGUAAUGGCCUACCAAGGCGGCGACGGGUAGCCGGCCUGAGAGGGUGGACGGCCACAUUGGGACUGAGAUACGGCCCAGACUCCUACGGGAGGCAGCAGUGAGGAAUAUUGCACAAUGGGCGGAAGCCUGAUGCAGCGACGCCGCGUGGGGGAUGACGGCCUUCGGGUGGUAAACUCCUUUCGACCGCAAGGAAGCCACCUGGUUGGAAGGGUGGUGACGGUAGUGGUAGAAGAAGCACCGGCUAACUACGUG